rnacentral:rRNA from 1 species
GACAGAGGGUGCGACCGUUGUUCGGAAUUACUGGGCGUAAAGCGCGUGUAGGCGGCAGCGCAAGUCGGGCGUGAAAUCCCACGGCUCAACCGUGGAAGUGCACUCGAAACUGCGCAGCUAGAGUCCUGGAGAGGAAGGUGGAAUGCUUGGUGUAGAGGUGAAAUUCGUAGAUAUCAAGCGGAACACCGGUGGCGAAGGCGGCCUUCUGGACAGUGACUGACGCUGAGACGCGAAAGCGUGGGGAGCAAACAGG